AUUUCAUAUCAAAUCAAUUUAAUAGCUUUUAGAAAAGUCACUCAGACAUUAUGUGCUUUUGCAAGUUGCUAAUGUUAGCAUUGAUUUUUAAUUGUUGAGAAGAGAAGAAAAUAAGUUGUUUUUUUGCCUUUUUAGGGCUUAAAAGGCAUCUUGAGGACUCUAUUAAGGAUGCAUCAUAAAAGCAAUACCAAAGUCACUUGAGUAGUGCCCAUAACACUUUUUUUCUCUUUAUCCUUCAAACUUUGUGUGCAUUUUUUCAUGACUUCUACUCUCCCUUUUCACACAACUUUUCCCCCAACACCCUGCCAUUAAAUUAUGAAUAUGGGUAGGGAUCCAACCCCUCACAUUAAUUUAUUUAUCUCAUUUAAAAACACAAAACUCACCUAAACCAUUCAACAUAACAAAG
rnacentral:lncRNA from 1 species